rnacentral:tRNA from 2 species
UUGACAUAGACCCAAGCCCUCUAGUAGGAUGAUGCAUCGGGGAUGGUCGGGAUAGCUCA